UACAGAGGGUGCAAGCGUUGUUCGGAAUUAUUGGGCGUAAAGCGCGUGUAGGCGGCUUUGCAAGUCAGGUGUGAAAGCCCUCAGCUCAACUGAGGAAGUGCGCCCGAAACUGCAGAGCUUGAGUGCCGGAGAGGGUGGCGGAAUUCCCCAAGUAGAGGUGAAAUUCGUAGAUAUGGGGAGGAACACCGGUGGGCGAAGGCGGCCGACCUGGA
rnacentral:rRNA from 1 species